CAAAAACAUGUCUUUUUGAGUUAUUUUUAAAGUNUAACCUGCCCAAUGAAAAAUUUUUAAUGGCCGCAGUAAUUUGACUGUGCAAAGGUAGCAUAAUAAUUAGUCUUUUAAUUGAAGGCUUGUAUGAAUGGUUGGACGAAGUAUAAUCUGUUUCAUUUAAAUUUAUUAUAGAAUUUUAUAUUUUAGUAAAAAAGCUAAAAUUUUUUUAAAAGACGAGAAGACCCUAUAAAUCUUUAUAAUCUGAUAUUUAUUUUUUUUUUUGAUUAAUUUUAAUUUUAAUAAUUUAGAUUAUUUUAUUGGGGUGAUAUUAAAAUUUAAAUAACUUUUAAUUUUUUUUUAAAACAUUAAUUUAUGAUUUAUUGAUCCAUUAAUAAUGAUUAUAAGAAUAAGUUACUUUAGGGAUAACAGCGUAAUUUUUUUGGAGAGUUCUUAUUGAUAAAAAAGUUUGCGACCUCGAUGUUGGAUUAAGAUAUAAUUUUAGGUGUAGUUGCUUAAAUAAUAAGUCUGUUCGACUUUUAAAUUCUUACAUGAUCUGAGUUCAAACCGGA
rnacentral:rRNA from 1 species